rnacentral:rRNA from 1 species
UGGGAAUAUUGGGGCAAUGGGGCGCAAGCCUGACCCAGCAACGCCGCGUGAGGGAAGAAGGCCUUCGGGUUGUAAACCUCUGUCCUAUGGGAAGAAAAAUAGACGGUACCAUAGGAGGAAGCUCCGGCUAACUACGUGCCAGCAGCCGCGGUAAUACGUAGGGAGCAAGCGUUGUCCGGAAUUACUGGGCGUAAAGGGUGCGUAGGCGGUUGCUUAAGUCAGAUGUGAAAUACUCGGGCUCAACUCGGGGGCUGCAUCUGAUACUGGGUAACUAGAGUGCAGGAGAGGAAAGUGGAAUUCCUAGUGUAGCGGUGGAAUGCGUAGAUAUUAGGAGGAACACCAGUGGCGAAGGCGACUUUCUGGACUGUAACUGACGCUGAGGC